GAUGAACGCUGGCGGCGUGCCUAAUACAUGCAAGUCGAGCGAACAGACGAGGUGCUUGCUCCACUGACGUUAGCGGCGGACGGGUGAGUACCACGUGGAUAACCUACCUAUAAGACUGGGAUAACUUCGGGAAACCGUAGCUAAUACCGGAUAAUAUAUUGAACCGCAUGGUUCAAUAGUGAAAUUCGCUUUUGCUGUCACUUAUAGAUGGAUCCGCGCCGCAUUAGCUAGUUGGUAAGGUAACGGCUUACCAAGGCUACGAUGCGUAGCCGACCUGAGAGGGUGAUCGGCCACACUGGAACUGAGACACGGUCCAGACUCCUACGGGAGGCAGCAGUAGGGAAUCUUCCGCAAUGGGCGAAAGCCUGACGGAGCAACGCCGCGUGAGUGAUGAAGGUCUUCGGAUCGUAAAACUCUGUUAUUAGGAAAGAACAAAUGUGUAAGUAACUAUGCACGUCUUGACGGUACCUAAACAGAAAGCCACGGCUAACUACGUG
rnacentral:rRNA from 1 species